AUACGUAGGGGGCGAGCGUUGUCCGGAUUUACUGGGCGUAAAGGGUGAGUAGGCGGUUGUAUAAGUCAGAUGUAAAAGGCACAGGCUUAACUUGUGUAAGCAUUUGAAACUGUAUUACUUGAGUGCAGGAGAGGUAAGUGGAAUUCCUAGUGUAGCGGUGAAAUGCGUAGAUAUUAGGAGGAACACCAGUGGCGAAGGCGGCUUUCUGGACAGUAACUGACGCUGAAGCACGAAAGCGUGGGGAGC
rnacentral:rRNA from 1 species